rnacentral:rRNA from 1 species
AUGAACGCUAGCUACAGGCUUAACACAUGCAAGUCGAGGGGCAGCAUGGUCUUAGCUUGCUAAGACUGAUGGCGACCGGCGCACGGGUGAGUAACACGUAUCCAACCUGCCGUCUACUCUUGGACAGCCUUCUGAAAGGAAGAUUAAUACAAGAUGGCAUCAUGAGUCCGCAUGUUCACAUGAUUAAAGGUAUUCCGGUAGACGAUGGGGAUGCGUUCCAUUAGAUAGUAGGCGGGGUAACGGCCCACCUAGUCUUCGAUGGAUAGGGGUUCUGAGAGGAAGGUCCCCCACAUUGGAACUGAGACACGGUCCAAACUCCUACGGGAGGCAGCAGUGAGGAAUAUUGGUCAAUGGGCGAGAGCCUGAACCAGCCAAGUAGCGUGAAGGAUGACUGCCCUAUGGGUUGUAAACUUCUUUUAUAAAGGAAUAAAGUCGGGUAUGUAUACCCGUUUGCAUGUACUUUAUGAAUAAGGAUCGGCUAACUCCGUGCCAGCAGCCGCGGUAAUACGGAGGAUCCGAGCGUUAUCCGGAUUUAUUGGGUUUAAAGGGAGCGUAGAUGGAUGUUUAAGUCAGUUGUGAAAGUUUGCGGCUCAACCGUAAAAUUGCAGUUGAUACUGGAUAUCUUGAGUGCAGUUGAGGCAGGCGGAAUUCGUGGUGUAGCGGUGAAAUGCUUAGAUAUCACGAAGAACUCCGAUUGCGAAGGCAGCCUGCUAAGCUGCAACUGACAUUGAGGCUCGAAAGUGUGGGUAUCAAACAGGAUUAGAUACCCUGGUAGUCCACACGGUAAACGAUGAAUACUCGCUGUUUGCGAUAUACUGCAAGCGGCCAAGCGAAAGCGUUAAGUAUUCCACCUGGGGAGUACGCCGGCAACGGUGAAACUCAAAGGAAUUGACGGGGGCCCGCACAAGCAGUGGAGUAUGUGGUUUAAUUCGACGCAACGCGAAGAACCUUACCAGGGCUUGACAUAUACAGGAAUAUAUAAGAGAUUAUAUAGCUCUUCGGAGACUGUAUACAGGUGGUGCAUGGUUGUCGUCAGCUCGUGUCGUGAGAUGUUGGGUUAAGUCCCGCAACGAGCGCAACCCCUGUUGCCAGUUGCCAGCAUUAAGUUGGGGACUCUGGCGAGACUGCCGGUGACAAGCCGGAGGAAGGCGGGGAUGACGUCAAAUCAUCAUGCCCCUUAUGACCUGGGCUACACACGUGCUACAAUGGCGUAAACAAAGGGAAGCGAGACCGCGAGGUGGAGCAAAUCCCAAAAAUAACGUCUCAGUUCGGAUUGUAGUCUGCAACUCGACUACAUGAAGCUGGAAUCGCUAGUAAUCGCGAAUCAGAAUGUCGCGGUGAAUACGUUCCCGGGCCUUGUACACACCGCCCGUCACACCAUGAGAGUUGGGAAUACCCGAAGCCUGUGAGCUAACUGAAAAGAGGCAGCAGUCGAAGGUAGAAUCAAUGAUUGGGGUG